rnacentral:rRNA from 1 species
GGCGGGAGCCUGAUCCAGCCAUGCCGCGUGCAGGAUGACGGCCCUAUGGGUUGUAAACUGCUUUUAUACGGGAAGAAACGCACCUACGGGUAGGUGUCUGACGGUACCGUAAGAAUAAGGACCGGCUAACUCCGUGCCAGCAGCCGCGGUAAUACGGAGGGUCCGAGCGUUAUCCGGAAUCAUUGGGUUUAAAGGGUCCGUAGGCGGGCCUGUAAGUCAGGGGUGAAAGUUUGUGGCUCAACCAUAAAAUUGCCUUUGAUACUGCAGGUCUUGAGUCAUGGUGGGGUCGCCGGAACAUGUGGUGUAGCGGUGAAAUGCAUAGAUAUCACAUAGAACACCGAUCGCGAAGGCAGGUGGCCAACCAUGUACUGACGCUGAUGGACGAAAGCGUGGGUAGCGAACGGGAUUAGAUACCCCGGUAGUCCACGCCGUAAACGAUGGAUACUAGCUGUGGGGACCUCGGUCUCCGUGGCCAAGCGAAAGUGAUAAGUAUCCCACCUGGGGAGUACGUUCGCAAGAAUGAAACUCAAA